AGUGAACGCUGGCGGUAGGCCUAACACAUGCAAGUCGAACGGCAGCACAGAGGAGCUUGCUCCUUGGGUGGCGAGUGGCGGACGGGUGAGGAAUACAUCGGAAUCUACUCUGUCGUGGGGGAUAACGUAGGGAAACUUACGCUAAUACCGCAUACGACCUACGGGUGAAAGCAGGGGACCUUCGGGCCUUGCGCGAUUGAAUGAGCCGAUGUCGGAUUAGCAAGUUGGCGGGGUAAAGGCCCACCAAGGCGACGAUCCGUAGCUGGUCUGAGAGGAUGAUCAGCCACACCGGAACUGAGACACGGUCCAGACUCAUACGGGAGGCAGCAGUGGGGAAUAUUGGACAAUGGGCGCAAGCCUGAUCCAGCCAUACCGCGUGGGUGAAGAAGGCCUUCGGGUUGUAAAGCCCUUUUGUUGGGAAAGAAAUCCAGCUGGCUAAUACCCGGUUGGGAUGACGGUACCCAAAGAAUAAGCACCGGCUAACUUCGUGCCAGCAGCCGCAGUAA
rnacentral:rRNA from 1 species